rnacentral:rRNA from 1 species
GAUGAACGCUGGCGGCGUGCCUAAUACAUGCAAGUCGAGCGAACAGAUAAGGAGCUUGCUCCUUUGACGUUAGCGGCGGACGGGUGAGUAACACGUGGGUAACCUACCUAUAAGACUGGAAUAACUCCGGGAAACCGGGGCUAAUGCCGGAUAACAUUUAGAACCGCAUGGUUCUAAAGUGAAAGAUGGUUUUGCUAUCACUUAUAGAUGGACCCGCGCCGUAUUAGCUAGUUGGUAAGGUAACGGCUUACCAAGGCAACGAUACGUAGCCGACCUGAGAGGGUGAUCGGCCACACUGGAACUGAGACACGGUCCAGACGCCUACGGGAGGCAGCAGUAGGGAAUCUUACGCAAUGGGCGAAAGCCUGACGGAGCAACGCCGCGUGAGUGAUGAAGGUCUUCGGAUCGUAAAACUCUGUUAUUAGGGAAGAACAAAUGUGUAAGUAACUGUGCACGUCUUGACGGUACCUAAUCAGAAAGCCACGGCUAACUACGUG